CCUACGGGUGGCAGCAGUGAGGAAUAUUGGUCAAUGGCCGGAAGGCUGAACCAGCCAUGCCGCGUGAAGGUCAGUGCCCUAUGGGCGUUAAACUUCUUUUGUGCGGGAGCAAUAAUGGUCACGUGUGGCCAGACGAGAGUACCGUACGAAUAAGCAUCGGCUAACUCCGUGCCAGCAGCCGCGGUAAUACGGGGGAUGCAAGCGUUAUCCGGAUUUAUUGGGUUUAAAGGGUGCGUUGGCUGGGAGGUAAGUCAGAGGUGAAAUGCCCCCGCUCAACGGGGUGAAGUGCCAUUGAUACUGCCUUGCUGGAAUGCGGAUGCGGUGGGAGGAAUGUGUGGUGUAGCGGUGAAAUGCAUAGAUAUCAGGCAGAACACCGAUUGCGAAGGCAGCUCACGAAUCCGCGAUUGACGCUGAUGCACGAAAGCGUGGGUAUCAAACAGGAUUAGAUACCCCUGUAGUC
rnacentral:rRNA from 1 species